rnacentral:rRNA from 1 species
GAUGAACGCUGGCGGCGUGCUUAACACAUGCAAGUCGAACGGACGGAUUGGAGCUUGCUCCAUGAAGUUAGUGGCGGACGGGUGAGUAACGCGUGGGUAACCUGCCUUAUGCAGGGGGAUAACGCUUGGAAACGAACGCUAAUACCGCAUAAUCUAGUUGGUUCGCGUGAACUGAUUAGCAAAGAUUUUAUCGGCAUAGGAUGGACCCGCGUUAGAUUAGCUAGUUGGUGAGAUAACAGCCCACCAAGGCGACGAUCUAUAGCCGGCCUGAGAGGGUGAACGGCCACACUGGGACUGAGACACGGCCCAGACUCCUACGGGAGGCAGCAGUGGGGAAUAUUGCACAAUGGGCGCAAGCCUGAUGCAGCGACGCCGCGUGAAGGAUGAAGGUCUUCGGAUCGUAAACUUCUAUCAGCAGGGAAGAAUACCAUGACGGUACCUGACUAAGAAGCCCCGGCUAACUACGUGCCAGCCGCCGCGGUAAUAC